rnacentral:lncRNA from 1 species
CCAGGCAGACCUUCAACUGCUCAUCCACUGACAGGUGCCCAGGUAUCCCUCCCGCCACUUCCCUGUCCACGCCCCAUCCAGAUCCUGCAGCGGGGUGACCACAGCCACCUUUGCAGAGGAGGGCGAGCUGCGCAUGUAAGCGCAUGUACGGUGGCAAGGACCGCCGCUCCCUCCUGCUGCGUGGCGUUCUGGCACGCCAGCUCCUAGAGUGCAAGGACUCCUGAGACCUGGAGGACGCCAAGGUUGUAUGCUGCCACCUGGGCAAUAGCCAGGCUGUGGGCACCCUGGUGGGGGCCACCUUUGGGCCAGGCUCUGGACCCAUGUGGCUGGAGGAGGUGGGGUGGCGGGGCAGCGAGUCACCCUUUGGAGCUGCCCCGCGGAGCCAUUUGGUCACGGAGACUGCCGGCACAAGCACAUGGAGGGCACUGCUCAGGUCCUUCUGUGGCCCUUUGACCUGCCCGCCAGGCCGAGACUCUGCCCAUGACUCUCAGUGUGGUCCUCGGUACCCUCCUGGUUGUCAUCUCACUGGUCCUGGGAGCACGGUGGUUCCAGGGCAGAGGAGCCUUCAGGGGUUCCGGAACGUUGGGGAGUCUGCCCUCGGAAGGUGUUUAUGAGGUCUUUGGAGCUGUCCCCAUGGGGGUAAAGGACGAUGGGCUCAGAGUGUCCAGGGUCCUGGAGCUGGAGGAGGAGUAUGAUGACGCAGAGGAGCCCCUGCUCAGCCCUGAGGAGAGGGAAGCGGAGGAGGGGGCCCCCCUGACCAACGCAGGUGUGCACCUCUGCGCCUUGGCAUCCCUGGUGCUUUUCCUGCUGUACUGCUCCUACGCCCAAGGCUUUUCUCUGGCCAGCCCCUACAUCUAAAGAUCCUCAAAGUGCCUCUCUGUGUGUUUGUGACUCUCACUUCCAUCAUAGGCUUGGUGUUCAGAGUUUAGGGAGGUCCUAGAUUUUUAUGUGGGUUUCUUUCUGUGGUUGCGCUUGUCCCUCCAGUGCCAUGUCCAGCGGCUGCAGGGGCCUGAGCAGACAGGUGGGCAGAGAUGUGCACGCAGCAGCACACUGUCGGCUCGCUCCAUCCAGUCCUUGACCAAGCCUCCAGCCUCACCGUGCGGCAAGAAGCCAGGGCCCAGAAUUCCUGAGGAAUUGCUGAGGGUCCCCAAUGUGUGUCUCUGUCCUUAAACAGAGGUGGGGCUCCUCACAGCUCAGGCUGGGAAGGACGAACAGGGCAGCCUCUGCCCCAGGACAUGCUGACCAUGAGCCAACCACAGGGACCUCCGCAAGACCAGAGGGUGGGGCUUUCAUUUUCCUCAAUUCUUCAAGAGAUUUAUUGUAUCAGUCAUCAUAAUUCAUCUCAGAAACAUCACUCAGGUGCCCACCAUGGCCCAGGUUCUGUUUUUGGCCCCCUCUCUGCUGCACCCGGGUCUGAGGCGGGCGCCGACUGUUUUCAGUUGUCCUCAUUCUCAGCCUCUUGCCCGCACGGUUCUCCUGGGGGAUGUGGAGUGGGGUGGGGGGUCUCUGAUGAACCAGCUCCUGGUCACCUCUCCUUUCAUGUGCAGAAAGUGCUGGACCAGCUCAGGUGUUGUGCCAGGAGCUGCAGCAUUCACAGCUGGCCCUCUCUGAUGCCCCCACCCAGCCCUUUGUGACCACAUCGUCCUGACCACACCUCCUUGACCACGCCCUCCACCCCCACAUCCUCUCUGGGAAAUGUUUCCCUGCAUCUUCUCUCCUGUGUGGAUCCAGUAUGGGUUUGCAAAUGGCCAGACCCACCAUAUCCAGAUCUUUCUACACUCCAACUCUGCCAAUUCGGCAUCCUGGGAAAGAGUCGGUUUCAUUAGGUUGUGAUUCCCUCCUCUGUAGGGUCUGUCCACCUACCCUCUGUGUUUACCCUCAGGGUCUGGCCAGCCUGCUGUGGCCAUCACUGGUGCUGGGCCCUUGGAUUCUCUCUGAACACAGCCUCCCACCCCUCAGCCCUUCCCCUGUGCCCCAACCCCCUAGACUGUAAAAGAGAUGCUGCUGCUUGUGGUCUCAAUCACCAGGAUGCUGGAGAAGGUGAAUGGGGUGCUGGCUUCUCUUGGACUGGAAGCCCUGAUGCAGGAGUCGGGGAGGGAGGNNNNNNNNNNNNNNNNNNNNNNNGGGGGGGCGAAGUGGAGUGAGGACAAGUUGUCAGGUGCUGGAGCAGCUCCUCACAGCCUUGGGGGACAGACGGCCUCCCCCACCCCUCCCCCCUUCGCGCUUCAGGCAGCCCCCAGCCCUGCACCCAGCAGGUGCGGAGCAGGGCUGGGGACAGCUUGAAGGGCUCCACAGGAAGAAGGCCAGCGCUUAGACCAUGCUCCCGGCUGCCUCUCACCCUGCUCUUACCUGGGGCUUAGCUCCAGGCUCUGCUCCCAACGGUGAGGGUCCCUCCAGACACUGGCUGCAGCCUGAGACGGGGUUGUCAGCGGCAAGGGAGUCCCUUGGUCCACAUCCACUGUCUACCUGCAUCCGCGUCCCCGCCCCAGCACUCAGAGGAGGACGGAUGCGGCGGCGUUGUUCCAGCACCUAGUGCCCAGUAGGGGCAGCCAAACCGGGUGUCCCCAGCACCCUGAUGUCUGGCUCGCUGCCACCAGCUCCCCUCCUCCGCAGCUCGCCUGUGUUGAGCUUCUCAACUCCGGAGGCACAUGCGGGGAGCCAAUGAAUUUUCUCCAGCAGGUAGGCUGCCUGAAUCGCCAGCAGGCAGGCUGCCCAGCGCGGUCGAGCUGAGCUCCAGGCUAUGGCCACAGACCUGGGGGGAGCUGAGGGAUGCUCCAUAGGUCCCGCCUCCGGCAGAGAGCGCUCCCUGCAACCCCCCCCCCCCCACCCCCCCCCCCCCGCCGCCCCUCAAACUGUCGCUCCCCUCUGCUUAGGCGGCUCUGCGCUCCUGGCUCCUGCUGACCCCAGGCAGCUUCUAGGAGCGUGCCAGCCCGCUGCAAGCUGCAGUGCACACGGAGGGUGCGACCGCGCAGGCCGGGGAAGCCCAGGAGAGCCCCACCGAGCUGGUACCCGCCCCCCGGCUGCAGGGGCGACCCCGCGCUGCCUGGGCUUCCGAGCCGCCAGGACAGAGGCUGAAACUUACGGGAACUUGGCACAAGGAACAAACCAGAGCCUGCCGUCAUGUUCCCAGCAGUGCUGCUCCCUACUGCCACCCAGACGCAGCAGCAGCAGCAGCCGCCACCUUCCGGAUUGAGCCGAUGGAUCCUCCCGCCACAGCCAGAGCGGCCUGGCACCUCCAGCCAAGCUGCGCUGCCGCCACCGCCGUCCAGCUCCAGGAGUGGGCCAAGUCCAGCAGGUGGAGAGUUCCCUAGGGCAGGUGUGUCCCGCGUUCACCGGCCUCCAAGCCACCCACACCUCUGUCAGCAUUUUUAAUUUCUCUCAAUUUUAAAUUUCUCUCAGCAAUGUUUUGUAGUUUUCAGUGCCCAGGUUUUGUUAAAUUAUCCCUAAAUAUUUCAUACAUUUAAGAAAAUUUAAAUUUCCAUUUGAUCACUACUGUUUAGAAUUAAAUAGAUUUUUGCAUAAUGACCUUGCAUCCUGUAACCUGUUCUCACAUUUUCUAAGUUGCUUUUUUCUAAAAUUCCUUGUUUUCUACAUAGACAACCAAGUUGUCUGCAAAUAAAGAGUUUUACUUCUCCUUCCCC